UACGGGGGGGGCAAGCGUUGUUCGGAAUUACUGGGCGUAAAGGGCCAGUAGGCGGCCAACUAAGUCCGACGUGAAAUCCCAAGGCUUUACCUUGGAACUGCGUCGGAUACUGGAUGGCUUGAAUUCGGGAGAGGGAUGCAGAAUUCCAGGUGUAGCGGUGAAAUGCGUAGAUAUCUGGAGGAAUACCGGUGGCGAAGGCGGCAUCCUGGACCGACAUUGACGCUGAAAGGCGAAAGCUAGGGGAGCAAACGGG
rnacentral:rRNA from 1 species